rnacentral:rRNA from 1 species
UACGGGGGGGGCAAGCGUUGUUCGGAAUUACUGGGCGUAAAGGGCUCGUAGGCGGCCAACUAAGUCAGACGUGAAAUCCCUCGGCUUAACCGGGGAACUGCGUCUGAUACUGGAUGGCUAGAGGUUGGGAGAGGGAUGCGGAAUUCCAGGUGUAGCGGUGAAAUGCGUAGAUAUCUGGAGGAACACCGGUGGCGAAAGCGCGAGACUGGGCCGUAACUGACGCUGAGGAACGAAAGCCAGGGGAGCGAAAGGG